CCAAAGGCUCUUUUAAGAGCCACUAAACCACCAGUAUUAGAGCUG
rfam:Mus musculus chromosome 13, GRC primary reference assembly.